CAAGCAAAACAUCCACAUGCAGGAACGUCAAGGAUAUCAAAAAUGAAAACAGCUGGCUGUCCCAAAGUUGGAAACCAGAAGUUCCUGUCAAAGAUGCAUUUGUCUCAUGGGAGACUGAAAGUGAGAAGGAUUGAUUGGAAGAAACUGACUUUUCCUUCAAGUCGACCGAGUCUGAUGAAACUGUGGAGAGUGACCUUUGGACCUUUAUGUAUUACCAACAGUUCUACCUCCACCCAGCAGUGAUAGAAGUGUGGAGAGACCAGCAAGCCUCUGAUGUACAAGAAGCACGGGCGUCGAGCCGGCAAUUACAUUGCAAUGGAGAUGUAUAGCAGAAUAGGUUACCAAUAAACCAGAUAGUGACUGACAGACAUCUUCAGGUUGCGUAGUUGAUGCGUAAGAACAUACCAGAUACGACACAUAGCAUCGAUGUGUGGCAUGCAGCAAAUAUAAUAGAAAUAAGCAUUACUCUUUUAAUAGGUGGGAGAAAGUAGUGCACAUAAAUCAUGAUAAAUUUAGAGCCAUUACAUAAGUAUUACUUACUGGUAACUGAAUUAGUCAAGAUGAACAUAUAAGUUAUGUUUUUAAGUUUAGGAUUUACUAAGUAGUUGUUGGCAGGGGAUAAAACGUCUGGCAAACCAUUUGUAUUGGGUAUCCUUAGCACCUAAUGACGAAGGCAAUGAGCUUAGAUGGGAAAAGUGGACCAGUAUUACCUACCAUGUACAGAACAUUCACGAAGGUCAUGGACAACUUUUUUAACGGUGUGAACACUUUACCCAACACUAGACGGGAGAGGUGGUUGAGACCAGAUUUAAAGUGAUGGAGAAAAAAGAAACUAUUGUUACAGUAAAUAGCGGGCAGAUGAAGAUGGACAUCCCCAUGCUCUCUCCAUUAUUUCAAACUUCAAGUGUAGAUGCAUUCCAUUAAGUCAUAAACUAGUUUGCACCGAGGAUGUAUAAAUUCUCCUACUUUGGAUUGCGAAGUCGCUUGGCCUCAGCAGCACUUCACUAGAACGAGAAUUCCAACAAGGAUCAAACAAGAGGGGGGGGAUCUUCAAUCUAACAUUGUAUUUCCAAAGCACAUGAAGUGGAAUACGCUGUGAAGAGAGUCAAGACGCAAAGUAUUUAUGAGUAUGUUGAUGUUCUUACAAAUGCUGCUACGACAAGGGCCAUCAACAUGAAGAUGCCACAGUGUGGUUGAGACACUGGAGUUGCGCCACCGCGCGAAGGAUCAGUAUGUGCAUCCCCAGAAAUACGAUGCAAUGGGUUAGCUGCUGACAAGGUUCCGGAGGAAUUGGGCCAUGCUGAAUCCUUGGAUAUGUGUCCCGGAUUUUCUGGACUGCACAAGCAGUAAAUGGUACACGCACUUGUCUCCCCAACCAUCCCCAGCACCAUCUAGCCAGUUGACUGUAUCCUAUGUAGCGUAUACGCCUGUUAUAUAUUACAAGAUUAAAACGUUUUUUGAUGAAUAAAUUCGCUAUUCCUUUCAUUAUAUUUUUGUAAUAAUAUCUAAGUAUGUGAGGGUACAUUGUAUAUGUACAUUGAAGAUACCGUUAUUGAUUUAUACUGUUGUUGUUUACGUAUUUUAAGUUACUUAUUUUUAAAAUUUCCUGUUUUGAUUAUUUUUAUACACGUUAAACUAUUGUUGUCUUGUCAGUUUUAUUUAUGAUUUUGCAGUAAUUUCAUAUUGGUGGUGAUGUCUGUUGUUUUGAUUUUUUAACUAUAAUUUUUAUCAAAGAUAGAUUAUUCUUGCAUUGCUGUUGACGUUUUACUUAUGUUCAGUCUAUUUUACAGGUUUUUUUUUUAUUUUCUUUGUUACUGUUUUGUUCAUGUAUUACUAUCUAGCUGUGAUUUUUUUCCCUUUUAUUUGACAUUUAAUAUCACUUGUUUGAAAUGCAAAACCGUUUUUCAUCCAUGGAAUCUUAAAUUUAUGCAGGCAUGAUAUACAUUUGUAUAUAAUGUUUUCAUUAUUGAUCUCAUGGAAUACUGUUUACACAUAUAUUU